rnacentral:misc_RNA from 1 species
AAGUCGUAACAAGGUAACCGUAGGUGAACCUGCGGUUGGAUCAUUAACAUAAAGUUUGCAGGGAUGUUUGCAUCCCUGCAAGACGUCUGGGCGCACUUGUGGCAGCUUGCUUCCAUGCGUCCAGCUACGUUUCACCCUUUGUGCACUGUAAUUGUCUCUGGCGGUUGGAUGGAAGACCCACCAGGGUUUUUGCCGUCCGUCAGCUCGGGCAACCGAGCCGUGGACAACCCGCCAACCACGACCCACUCAUUGUUUUCUAGAUGCUGUCUAACAUUGUCGUAUUGUACGUAAUGUAAUACAACAACUUUUGGCAACGGAUCUCUUGGCUCUC